rnacentral:rRNA from 1 species
UUAAUGAAAUACUAUCUGUCUCUAUUAUAUUAAUAUAAUUUAAAUUUUGAGUUAAAAUGCUUAAAUUUAUUUAUUGGACGAGAAGACCCUAUAGAUCUUUAUAGAUUUUUUUAUUAAUUGUUUUGGUUAAAUUGGUUUUAUUUUUGGUGUUUAUUUUGUUGGGGUGACAUAGGGAUAUAAAUAACUCUUUUAUUUUUGUUUACAUUUAUUUUUGAAUUUUUGACCUUUUUUUUUGUUAUUAGAUUUAGAUACCUUAGGGAUAACAGCGUAAUUUCUUUUGAGAGUUCUUAUUGACAGAGAAGGUUGCGACCUCGAUGUUGGAUUAAGAUUAUAGUUGGGUGUAGAAGCUUAAUUAAUAGGUCUGUUCGACCUUUAAAAUCUUACAUGAUCUGAGUUCAAAACCGGA